GGACCUGUAGCUCAGAGGAAGAGCGGGCGGCUCAUAACUGCAAGGUCGGGAUUUCGAGACUCCCCGGGUCCACCA
rnacentral:tRNA from 1 species